GUAAAGUGGCCGAAGCCUGAUCCAACAAUGCCGCGUGAGGGAUGAAGGCCUGAGGGUUGUAAACCUCUUUCAGCGGGGAAGAAGGCAGAUGGUUAAUAUGGAUAGGAUUGACGUUAUUCCGUGACAACACCCCGGGUAACUCCGUGCCGGCAGCCGCGGUAAUACGGAGGGUGCCAGCGUUCAUCGGAAUUACUGGGCGUAAAGCGGGCGUAGGUGGUUGGGUCAGUUGGCUGUGAAAGCCCCGGGCUCAACCUGAGAAGGUCGGGCUAAACUGGGAGACUAUAGUACGUAUAGGGGGUGUGGAAUUUCCGGUGUAGAAGAGAAAUGCAUGGAAAUAAGAAGGAACACCAGUGGCCAAGGCGGCAUGCUGAAAUGAUACGGGAGCAGAGGGGAAAAAGAAAGGGGAGCGUACAGGAUUAAAUACCCUGGUAGUCCAUGCCGUAAACAAUGUCCCCCUCUUGUGGUACCUUUCAAAUCAUUGUUAAGCUAACGGCAGAAGUUGAC
rnacentral:rRNA from 1 species